rnacentral:rRNA from 1 species
AUUGAACGCUGGCGGCAGGCCUAACACAUGCAAGUCGAACGGUAACAGGAAGAAGCUUGCUUCUUUGCUGACGAGUGGCGGACGGGUGAGUAAUGUCUGUGAAACUGCCUGAUGUAGGGGGAUAACUACUGGAAACGGUAGCUAAUACCGCAUAACGUCGCAAGACCAAAGAGGGGGACCUUCUGGCCUCUUGCCGUCUUAUGUGCCCAGAUGGGAUUAGCUAGUAGGUGGGGUAACGGCUCACCUAGGCGACGAUCCCUAGCUGGUCUGAGAGGAUGACCAGCCACACUGGAACUGAGACACGGUCCAGACUCCUACGGGAGGCAGCAGUGGGGAAUAUUGCACAAUGGGCGCAAGCCUGAUGCAGCCAUGCCGCGUGUAUGAAGAAGGCCUUCGGGUUGUAAAGUACUUUCAGCGGGGAGGAAGGGAGUAAAGUUAAUACCUUUGCUCAUUGACGUUACCCGAAGAAGAAGCACCGGCUAACUCCGUG